rnacentral:ncRNA from 1 species
GCCGUUGGGGUGCUCCGCUAUGGGGCUGAGAGACGUCAGUUAACCCAUCGAACCUGAUCCGGACAGUGCCGGCGUAGGAAACGG